rnacentral:rRNA from 1 species
UACGGAGGGGGCUAGCGUUGUUCGGAAUUACUGGGCGUAAAGCGCACGUAGGCGGCUUUGCAAGUUAGAGGUGAAAGCCCGGGGCUCAACUCCGGAAUUGCCUUUAAAACUGCAUCGCUAGAAUUGUGGAGAGGUAAGUGGAAUUCCGAGUGUAGAGGUGAAAUUCGUAGAUAUUCGGAAGAACACCAGUGGCGAAGGCGACUUACUGGACACAUAUUGACGCUGAGGUGCGAAAGCCAGGGGAGCGAACGGG